CUUUGCUUCCUUCUCUUAGUUUUCUCUUCCCAUCCCUCUGCCCCUGAGCAUUGUCCCACCCCUCCACCCACGCACUCCUUUCUCCUCCUCCUUUCUCUCUCUCUCCCUGUUCUCUUCCGGUGUGGUGUCUGCUUCUGCAGGCUCUGGAUUUCUGGUGCCUCCAUCCCAUCCUGGGGGGCGGCACUCUGCCCCUGCCAGAGGCAAAGUGGGGACCGAGAAGCCCAUCUUGCAGUUCUGGGUCCUGCUCAGUAAAGUGGAAGCUUCCAGAGACGCCCAGGUGUUGAAACGGCUUUGCAGGGGGGCUUUGCAGCUGCACCCGGGCUGGGCAGGUGACAGGGCCCCAUGCAGAAUCCGAAUGUCAGGGAAGACCACACCGCGCCUGGAAGCCCAACACAGCCGAGAGAGAAACAGACAAUCAAGGCAUUGAAAAAGUGGAGGAGAAGCCUGGAAAAACUGGCUGGGGCCAAUGUCUAGAGGUAUGGGACUCCGGAUUCUCAUUCUGAAGGCCACAGGGAGCCAGUAACAGCUCUUGAGCAGGGCAUGGUUUGAUCCUUUUGCCAAGGAUUUGUCACCUUGGAGACAGCAGACGGACUCAGGCUCCUCGCCUGCCUGCCACGUAGACUCGGCCACAGGGGGAAGGAGAGUGGGACCCAGGUGCCCUGAGCCCAGAGCCCUGCCAGGACCUACAGAGCUGUGGGCAGCCGCUGUGACCACUUGGGGCCUCAGUUUCCUCUCCCCAAACAUGAGGUCCGGUAAAUGAGGGGGACUGGGGUGAUGGGAGAAGCCAGAUGAGAAGCAGGGUGGAGUGAGGAGCGGGGAACCAAGGGGGCUUCCUGGACUCGUGAGAGCCUUCCCCGCCUUCUGGGCUCCCGGGUGCUGUCCUCACAUCUCAGCAUCGCACUGGCUGUUGGGUGCAGAGAGCAGCACGCUGUCCCCUGUCGGGCUCCUCAGAGCCCCCCAUCCUGCCCCCCGGCCCGGCGUAUCUGCCUCCCUGCCCCCCAGGUCCUGGUGUUACUGUCCUGAGGAGCUGGGGCUGUCCCUGCCGUCUGCCCAGGCGUUCCCGGCCGCUCUCCCUUCCAAAAACUCCGGUCCCCCGGACACCCAGGGACCUCCUCCACCCUCAGGCCAUCUUUGCAGCUUGGCCUGGCUCUGGCCCCAGGCUGCACCCUUCGAGGAACUUCUGCUGAGGAGCUGCUCAGAGCUCGGAAGGACCUUCCCGAGAGGAGAGGAGGAGAGAGAGACACAGAGAGAGAGGUGGAGCCAGUUUCCUGGAGUCACAGAGCUGGGAAGUAGCUGCACUGAGAUGAAAACCCAGAAAGUCUCAUGCUUCACUCAGAGACCCAGGACGGAUGCCAAGUGGACCACCCCACCCCACUGCAGAAGUGGCUGUUUGCAGGAAUGCGCUGUCUCCUCUUGGGCUCAUGCACGGGAAGGACCACAGCAUAACGUGGCUGAAACUGACCACAGGCACUAGCCGAGUGGCCAGUCCCAGCUACCCCGCCCUGCCUCCCGUCUGCCCAGGGGCUACUGUGAGCUGACCACACCACGACACAC
ensembl:lncRNA